rnacentral:rRNA from 1 species
UACGGGGGGAGCAAGCGUUGUUCGGAUUUACUGGGCGUAAAGGGCGCGUAGGCGGCCACCGCAAGUCGACUGUGAAAUCUCCGGGCUUAACCCGGAAAGGUCAGCCGAUACUGCGGGGCUAGAGUGCAGAAGGGGCAACUGGAAUUCUCGGUGUAGCGGUGAAAUGCGUAGAUAUCGGGAGGAACACCUGUGGCGAAAGCGGCGCACUGGACCACAUCUGACGCUGAGGCGCGAAAGCUAGGGGAGCAAACAGG